AAUCAACGCUGGCGGCGUGCCUAACACAUGCAAGUCGAGCGAGAAAAGGGGAGCAAUCCCCUGAGUACAGCGGCGCACGGGUGAGUAACACGUGGGUAAUCUGCCCUGGAGUGGGGAAUAACACCGGGAAACCGGUGCUAAUACCGCAUACGAUCACAGAGUCUGUGGAUUUUGUGAUGAAAGGAGCAAUCCGCUAUGAGAUGGGCCCGCGGCGCAUUAGCUAGUUGGUGAGGUAACGGCUCACCAAGGCGACGAUGCGUAGCCGACCUGAGAGGGUGAUCGGCCACAUUGGGGCUGAGACACGGCCCAGACUCCUACGGGAGGCAGCAGUGGGGAAUAUUGCACAAUGGGGGAAACCCUGAUGCGGCAACGCCGCGUGAGCGAUGAAGGCCUUCGGGUCGUAAAGCUCUGUCCUCAAGGAAGAUAAUGACGGUACUUGAGGAGGAAGCCCCGGCUAACUACGUGCCAGCAGCCGCAGUAA
rnacentral:rRNA from 1 species